UCAGACUACCAAGUAGGCAGC
ensembl:piRNA 21ur-1418 ncRNA